GAUGAACGCUGGCGGCGUGCCUAAUACAUGCAAGUCGAGCGAACGGACGAGAAGCUUGCUUCUCUGAUGUUAGCGGCGGACGGGUGUGUAACACGUGGAUAACCUACCUAUAAGACUGGGAUAACUUCGGGAAACCGGAGCUAAUACCGGAUAAUAUUUUGAACCGCAUGGUUCAAAAGUGAAAGACGGUCUUGCUGUCACUUAUAGAUGGAUCCGCGCUGCAUUAGCUAGUUGGUAAGGUAAAGGCUUACCAAGGCAACGAUGCAUAGCCGACCUGAGAGAGGGGUCGGCCACACUGGAACGGAGACACGGUCCAGGCUCCUACGAGAGGCAGCAGUAGGGUAUCUUCCGCAAUGGUCGAGAGCCUGACGGAGCAGCGCCGCGUGAGAUGUGGAGAUCUUCGGAUCGUGAAACUCGGUUAUUAGGGAUGAACAUAUGUGUAAGUAACUGUGCACAUCUUGACGGUACCUAAUCAGAAAGCCACGGCUAACUACGUG
rnacentral:rRNA from 1 species